rnacentral:rRNA from 1 species
UACGGAGGGUGCAAGCGUUAUCCGGAUUUAUUGGGUUUAAAGGGUCCGUAGGCGGAUUAGUAAGUCAGUGGUGAAAGCCCGCAGCUCAACUGUGGAACUGCCAUUGAUACUGCUAGUCUUGAGUGUAGUUGAAGUAGCUGGAAUGAGUAGUGUAGCGGUGAAAUGCAUAGAUAUUACUCAGAACACCAAUUGCGAAGGCAGGUUACUAAGUUACAACUGACGCUGAUGGACGAAAGCGUGGGGAGCGAACAGGAUUAGAUACCCUGGUAGUCCACGCCGUAAACGAUGCUGACUCGUUUUUGGGUUUUCGGAUUCAGAGACCAAGCGAAAGUGAUAAGUCAGCCACCUGGGGAGUACGGGCGCAAGCCUGAA